AAUCCAUAGGUUAAUGAGGCGAACCGGGGGAACUGAAACAUCUAAGUACCCCGAGGAAAAGAAAUCAACCGAGAUUCCCCCAGUAGCGGCGAGCGAACGGGGAGGAGCCCAGAGCCUGAAUCAGCAUGUGUGUUAGUGGAAGCGUCUGGAAAGGCGCGCGAUACAGGGUGACAGCCCCGUACACAAAAGCGCAUGUGCUGUGAGCUCGAUGAGUAGGGCGGGACACGUGGUAUCCUGUCUGAAUAUGGGGGGACCAUCCUCCAAGGCUAAAUACUCCUGACUGACCGAUAGUGAACCAGUACCGUGAGGGAAAGGCGAAAAGAACCCCGGCGAGGGGAGUGAAAAAGAACCUGAAACCGUGUACGUACAAGCAGUGGGAGCACCCUUUGGGUGUGACUGCGUACCUUUUGUAUAAUGGGUCAGCGACUUAUAUUCUGUAGCAAGGUUAACCGAAUAGGGGAGCCGGAGGGAAACCGAGUCUUAACCGGGCGUUAAGUUGCAGGGUAUAGACCCGAAACCCGGUGAUCUAGCCAUGGGCAGGUUGAAGGUUGGGUAACACUAACUGGAGGACCGAACCGACUAAUGUUGAAAAAUUAGCGGAUGACCUGUGGCUGGGGGUGAAAGGCCAAUCAAACCGGGAGAUAGCUGGUUCUCCCCGAAAGCUAUUUAGGUAGCGCCUCGUGAAUUCAUCUCCGGGGGUAGAGCACUGUUUCGGCUAGGGGGCCAUCCCGGCUUACCAACCCGAUGCAAACUGCGAAUACCGGAGAAUGUUAUCACGGGAGACACACGGCGGGUGCUAACGUCCGUCGUGAAGAGGGAAACAACCCAGACCGCCAGCUAAGGUCCCAAAGUCAUGGUUAAGUGGGAAACGAUGUGGGAAGGCCCAGACAGCCAGGAUGUUGGCUUAGAAGCAGCCAUCAUUUAAAGAAAGCGUAAUAGCUCACUGGUCGAGUCGGCCUGCGCGGAAGAUGUAACGGGGCUAAACCAUGCACCGAAGCUGCGGCAGCGACACUGUGUGUUGUUGGGUAGGGGAGCGUUCUGUAAGCCUGUGAAGGUGUGUCGUGAGG
rnacentral:rRNA from 1 species